rnacentral:rRNA from 1 species
UACAGAGGGGGCAAGCGUUGUUCGGAAUUACUGGGCGUAAAGGGCGCGUAGGCGGCCUGCUAAGUCGAACGUGAAAUCCCCGAGCUCAACUCGGGAACUGCGUCCGAUACUGGCAGGCUUGAAUCCGGGAGAGGGAUGCGGAAUUCCAGGUGUAGCGGUGAAAUGCGCAGAUAUCAGGAGGAACACCAGUGGCGAAGGCGCCGCUCUGGGCCGUGACUGACGCUGAGGAGCGAAAGCGUGGGUAGCAAACAGG